rnacentral:lncRNA from 1 species
UGAUACGAAUAAACGCCGCCCUACCGACGGCCGCGAAAGAGAACGGCGCACAGUCACGCACUUUCUCCCUUUCUCUUUUGGUUCGGAGGCGCAGACGCGACGCCGGACAGAGCAGAGGCCGCGACUGGGCGCGAAGAGUUUGAAGCGGUGGCGCUUUUGUUGCUUUUCUUUUGUUUUUUUUCUCACUG